AACUUUCGGCAAUGGAUCUCUCGGCUCUCGCAUCGAAGAAGAACGCAGUCAAUUGCGAAAAGUAAUGUGAUGUGCACCCUUUGAGAAGCAUUAUACUCUUUGAACGCACCUUGCGCGCAUCAUUUUGAUGCGAGGUCCUGUUUGAGCGUGUUUUACUAAAAAGUAUUUGUUCGCUAUUUAUUUACGUAAACGGUGGAUGAAAGACAUGCAGGCCCGAACGACUCUAGGGCGCCACGGCGAGCAGCGCGACAAGCAUCACUGCGAACCGUGGGACUGCAAGUGUAUGGGAUUGACCUUGACUGAUUAUUCACACUAUGCACAUACAUAUACAAACCACGCACCUCAAAUCAGGAUAGAGCACCCGCUGAACUUAAGCAUAUCAAUAAGCGGAGGCU
rnacentral:misc_RNA from 1 species